UACGGGGGGGGCAAGCGUUGUUCGGAAUUACUGGGCGUAAAGGGCUCGUAGGCGGCCAACUAAGUCCGACGUGAAAUCCCCAGGCUUAACCUGGGAACUGCGUCGGAUACUGGAUGGCUUGAAUUCGGGAGAGGGACGCAGAAUUCCCGGUGUAGUGGUGGAAUGCGUAGAUAUCGGGGGGAAUACCAGUGGCGAAAGCGGCACCCUAGCGUUAGCCUGACGCUCAUGUGCGAAAGCGUGGGGAGCGAACGGG
rnacentral:rRNA from 1 species